UCUUUCUUUUCUGUAUAGAUUCACAUAACCACCUUGCGCAAAGUUUAAGCACAAACAUUACUACAACGCCAGGACAAAUACCUAUGCAUCGAAGAUAAGGAUUGCCCUCGUACCCAGAGUUGCAAGAACAACGGAAUAUUAGCUCAUUAGAAGAACUGUAGUCGCAAUCCAAGGUUUCCGGGAUAACCAUCCUAAAAUAAUCUUCCCUUAGGGUCGAAUUGACCAUCCAAUCUAGCAGCAUCGGAAACUGGACAUUGCUAUCCUUUUCUCUCCUGGAAUACGAUUCAUAUGUUCCCG
rnacentral:misc_RNA from 1 species